rnacentral:tRNA from 1 species
GUCUGGGUGGCUCAGUCGUUUGAGCAUCCGACUUCGGCUCAGGUCAUGAUAUCACGGUUCGUGGGUUCGAGUCCCAUGUCGGGCU